GAGUUUGAUCGUGGCUCAGAGCGAACGCUGGCGGCAGGCUUAACACAUGCAAGUCGAGCGGGCGUAGCAAUACGUCAGCGGCAGACGGGUGAGUUAACACGUGGGAACGUACCCUUUGGGUUCGGAACAACACAGGGAAACUUGUGCUAAUACCGGAUAAGCCCUUACGGGGAAAGAUUUAUCGCCGAAGGAUCGGCCCGCGUCUGAUUAGCUUGUUGGUGAGGUAACGGCUCACCAAGGCUACGAUCAGUAGCUGGUCUGAGAGGAUGAUCAGCCACACUGGGACUGAGACACGGCCCAGACUCCUACGGGAGGCAGCAGUGGGGAAUAUUGGACAAUGGGCGCAAGCCUGAUCCAGCCAUGCCGCGUGAGUGAUGAAGGCCCUA
rnacentral:rRNA from 1 species